rnacentral:antisense_RNA from 1 species
GGGUAGGGCUUGGCAUAGUGUGGGUGGGGCUUGUGGUAGUCUGGACUGGGCCUAUGAUAUUGAGGGUAGGGCCUGUAGUAGUAAGGGUAGAGAUUAUGGGCUUGUGGGUGGAGCCUGUAGUAGUGUGAGUGAGGGGGCUUGGAGCACUGUGGGUAGUGGUAAUGGCACUAUAGGUAGAGCCUGUAGUGGUGUGAGUGGGGCCUGGCAGUUCUGAAGGGCCAGAGUCUGUGGACUUAUGAACUGAGUCUAGGUGUGCAGAUGGGGCAGGGUCUGUAGAUGUGGGGACAGAGCCUGUUGUACCGAGGGUGGAG